rnacentral:rRNA from 1 species
UACGAGGGGGGCGAGCGUUGUUCGGAAUUAUUGGGCGUAAAGGGUGCGUAGGCGGCCUGACAAGUCUGAUGUGAAAUCCCUGGGCUCAACCCAGGGCCUGCAUCGGAAACUGUCGGGCUUGAGUAUGGGAGAGGUGAGUGGAAUUUCCGGUGUAGCGGUGAAAUUCGUAGAUAUUGGGAAGAACACCGGUGGCGAAGGCGGCUCACUGGCUCGUAACUGACGCUCAUGCACGACAGCGUGGGGAGCGAACAGG